GACGUGGCGCCGCCAGCGCCGCCACCGGCCGACGGCGGCUGCGGCGGCGGGCGCUACGGCCGGAAUGGGGAGGAGAUCGACUUGUCGCUGAAGCUCUGAGCUAAUUAACCUGAUUACGUAUAUGACGGCUUAAUUAAUUAAUUAAUUAAUUAAUUAAUUAAUUAAUCAAAUCGUGAUGAAUCCAUGCAUAUGUCGUAGGUAGCUAGCGUUGGAUCGAGUACUUGUUGCGUCUCUGGAACCGCGAUUGAUUGAUUUCUAGUGCAAUUGUUUGAUCGGCUAAUUCAUAUAUAUAGCCCUGAUCUUUGAGAGAGAGAUAUAUAUAGUUCAAUAAUAUACAUCUCAUUAAUUCAGUACGUAAUUGAUCUCCUUGAUCGAUCUGUAUACAUGUUUGGAUGAGCCUAUGCUUAAUUAGGUACCCCAGAGAAUAUAUAAAUUGUGUGUGGAUUAAUCCUUUGC
rnacentral:sRNA from 1 species